GGGGGUGAUCGGUUUCGACAUUGGUCGGUCAUCCAGGGGAAGCGGGUCGAGGACGCACGGUUAUCUCGUCAACGCUCCGUGCAAACCAAUAGGUGCCAACUCCAAGCGCACCGACUUCGCCCUCGCCGCCUGAGCGAGCCCGAAGUCCGUUGGCCUAUGCGUGAUCUCGGCAUAGUCACCAGCGUCAUCUAGAGAUCUUGCUGCGCGUCCCUCGUCGGGGGGAGGCGUGGGACUCUAAUCCGACUGAGCCUGUCGGGGAACGUGUGCGCGCGAGCCCCGGGGCCGAGAAAAUCCAGAGCGCACUGCACCCGGAGAAGUCCUGGUUCAUCGUCAGUGGACGCGGGUUCGAUUCCCGCCACCUCCACGA
rfam:Tetrasphaera jenkinsii Ben 74 genomic scaffold, 1541_scaffold1